AUCCGACAUUCUUUCAACCUUCUUUGGAACCUCUGUGGAAUGAAUGGGCUUGAAAGCCAUUAACUGAUAUUCUUAAUAAAAGAUGAAAUGAGACCUGGAGAUUACAUUGAAAUACAGAACUAUGUGGAAGAGGAUUAAGGAACUUUUCAAAUUGAAGUUCAGGUUUCAAGUCUGUGCACUGAAUCUGUAGGAUGCAAAAGGUAACAACCCAUUUUCAAGCUGUACCUUCUGCAUUCAGGGAAUUCCACUGUGGCUGUUUGGGGCCUGAGAUGCACUUUAGUGAGUGAAAUCAAGUCACACGUUUCUCAAUGCCAUUGUGCAAACAGAGGAAGAACAAAAUCCUAGAAAGGUGAUGAAGAAUAUCCAUGAACAUGACUCUAAAUGUUGAGAAGUUCUGAAAUGGGCACAUGGACAAACGGCAUCUGUGUGGAUCCUCAGGUUGUACAUGGAUCACUACAAUGGCUUCACCUGGCAUGCCUAGAGCUGCUCUUGUCCCAGCAGCUGUCCUCCGUGCUAAGCCUGCUUUGCUUUUCACUGAAGUUGGACUGUGACUCUUCCACUGUGUACACUGAGGUAUCCCAUGGAGUUUCCAGACCAGUCUCCUGAAAGUCUCAUCUCAGCAUCAUGCCUCAUACCUG